rnacentral:rRNA from 1 species
GAUGAACGCUAGCGGGAGGCUUAAUACAUGCAAGUCGUACGGUAACAGGCGUAGCAAUACGUGCUGACGAGUGGCGCACGGGUGAGGAACACGUACGCAAUCUGCCUCUGACUGGGGGAUAGCUCCGGGAAACUGGGAUUAAUACCCCGUAACAUUACGGAAGGGCAUCCUUCUGUAAUUAAACCUCCGGGGGUCAGAGAUGAGCGUGCGUCUGAUUAGGUAGUUGGUAGGGUAACGGCCUACCAAGCCAACGAUCAGUAGCUGGCGUGAGAGCGGCGACCAGCCACACGGGAACUGAGACACGGUCCCGACUCCUACGGGAGGCAGCAGUAGGGAAUAUUGGACAAUGGCUGAAAAGCUGAUCCAGCCAUCCCGCGUGAAGGCAGAAGGUCCUAUGGAUUGUAAACUUCUUUUCUCUGGGAAGAAAAUCCCGCAUUCUUGCGGGACUGACGGUACCAGAGGAAUAAGCACCGGCUAACUCCGUGCCAGCAGCCGCGGUAAUACGGGA